AGGAUGAACGCUAGCGGCAGGCCUAAUACAUGCAAGUCGAACGGUUGUUAGCAAUAACAAUAGUGGCGCACGGGUGCGUAACACGUAACUAACCUACCUAUAACUGGGGGAUAGCCCGCCGAAAGGCGGAUUAAUACCGCAUAAGCUCUUUGACUGGCAUCAGUUGAUUAGUAAAGAUUUAUUGGUUAUAGAUGGGGUUGCGGGUCAUUAGCUAGUUGGUAAGGUAACGGCUUACCAAGGCGACGAUGACUAGGGGAGCUGAGAGGCUGGUCCCCCACACGGGCACUGAGAUACGGGCCCGACUCCUACGGGAGGCAGGCAGUAGGGAAUAUUGGGCAAUGGACGAGAGUCUGACCCAGCCAUGCCGCGUGCAGGAAGAAGGCUUUCUGAGUCGUAAACUGCUUUUGACAGGGAAGAAUAAGCACUACGUGUAGUGUGAUGACGGUACCUGCAGAAUAAGCACCGGCUAACGUCCGUGCCAGCAGCCGCGGUAA
rnacentral:rRNA from 1 species